ACAUGCAAGUCGAGGGGCAGCAUGGUCUUAGCUGUGCUAAGGCUGAUGGCGACCGGCGCACGGGUGAGUAACACGUAUCCAACCUGCCGUCUACUCUUGGCCAGCCUUCUGAAAGGAAGAUUAAUCCAGGAUGGGAUCAUGAGUUCACAUGUCCGCAUGAUUAAAGGUAUUUUCCGGUAGACGAUGGGGAUGCGUUCCAUUAGAUAGUAGGCGGGGUAACGGCCCACCUAGUCAACGAUGGAUAGGGGUUCUGAGAGGAAGGUCCCCCACAUUGGAACUGAGACACGGUCCAAACUCCUACGGGAGGCAGCAGUGAGGAAUAUUGGUCAAUGGGCGAUGGCCUGAACCAGCCAAGUAGCGUGAAGGAUGACUGCCCUAUGGGUUGUAAACUUCUUUUAUAAAGGAAUAAAGUCGGGUAUGCAUACCCGUUUGCAUGUACUUUAUGAAUAAGGAUCGGCUAACUCCGUGCCAGCAGCCGCGGUAAUACGGAGGAUCCGAGCGUUAUCCGGAUUUAUUGGGUUUAAAGGGAGCGUAGAUGGAUGUUUAAGUCAGUUGUGAAAGUUUGCGGCUCAACCGUAAAAUUGCAGUUGAUACUGGAUGUCUUGAGUGCAGUUGAGGCAGGCGGAAUUCGUGGUGUAGCGGUGAAAUGCUUAGAUAUCACGAAGAACUCCGAUUGCGAAGGCAGCCUGCUAAGCUGCAACUGACAUUGAGGCUCGAAAGUGUGGGUAUCAAACAGGAUUAGAUACCCUGGUAGUCCACACGGUAAACGAUGAAUACUCGCUGUUUGCGAUAUACGGCAAGCGGCCAAGCGAAAGCGUUAAGUAUUCCACCUGGGGAGUACGCCGGCAACGGUGAAACUCAAAGGAAUUGACGGGGGCCCGCACAAGCGGAGGAACAUGUGGUUUAAUUCGAUGAUACGCGAGGAACCUUACCCGGGCUUAAAUUGCACUCGAAUGAUCC
rnacentral:rRNA from 1 species